rnacentral:lncRNA from 1 species
GCAAACUUGGAGGAUAUGGCAGAGAACCUCCACAACGAGCUGACAGACCCUGUCAUGGACACUGUCACGGUACAUCCCUGAGCACACCCGGGCCCUGCUCCAGGAUGUGACUGCACCCCCAGUGCACCCUGUCCCCCCACAUCAGGGGAUGGGCAGCAAUGCUGGGGGUUUGUGCUCCUCUGGAUCCUGUGGAGGGUGACAAAGAUGGUUUGGGACCUGGAACAUCUGUCUCCUGAGGAAAGGCUGAGGGAGCUGGGCCUGUUCAGCCUUGAGAAGGCUGAGAGGGAGCCAAGAUGGGAGGGUGGUGCUGAGCAUCUAGGGGGAUCCAUACCUCAGUUUCCCCAGGAAAAGCUGGGUGGGGAGGCUGGCUUGGGGAUGCUGAAUGUAGCCCCAUGUUGCAGCCAUCCCACUGUCUCCUUCCCAGUCUUCCAUGAAGGACAUUAUGGGCGAGGACGGACAGGUCCCCCCAGACUGGCAGCAGGUCCCCCCAGACUGGCAGCAGGUCCCCCCGGACUGGCAGCAGGGGCCUGGCACGCGCUCACACCCCUGGGAGGACCAGGGGCUGAUCGUCAUUGGCAAUGAAAGUACGUCUGGGCAGGCCUGGGGAGGGGAUCCAGUGGGUGGGAGGGGCACAGUGGGGCAGACAGGGCACCUGUGGACUGCUGGGUUUUCCCCCAGCUGUGUUCCCCAGGGCUCCCCCAACCCCAGAGAGUUCCCCCUGUUCUCUUCUUCCAGUUGUCCUCACGGACAGGUUCAGGGCAUCCUCACCAAGACAGCGGGAUCCCCGGACCCCCAGCCCUGCGCCCUCAAAAGCCACAGACGGGGCACAGAGCAGAGGGAAGGAUUUGCCACCUGGGGUCACGAGCAGCCCCCGAGUCUCCUUCAUGACAAGUGACAUGGGAUGGAACGACAUGGGACGGAACAGCAUGGGGCCGAUCAAGGAUGAAGAGAUCCAGAUGGGCAUCUCCAAGGGAGCAGCUCUUCCCGGCCCCAAGGCAUGGAGCAAAGGGAAGAACUUGCCCCAUGGGGCUGUGAGCAGCCCCCGAGUGUCCUUCAUGGAAAGCGAUAUGGGAUGGAAUGACACGGGACAGUUCCAGGAUGAAGAGAUCAAGAUGGGCAUCUCCAAGGGAGCGGCUGUUCGAAGCUCAAGGGCAUGGAGCAGAGGGAAGAACUUGCUGCACGGGGUCACGAGCAGCCCCCGAGUGUCCUUCGUGGAAAGUGACGUGGGAUGGGAUGACGUGGAUCAGAGCGGGGAUGAUGAGGAGACCAAGAUAAGCAUCUCAAAGGCAGAGGCUCUUCCCAGCCUCCUGCAUGUUCCCCCUGAGAUGAAGGACGUGAAACAUAUCAAGGACGAAGAGAUCAAGAUGAGAAUCUCCAAGGCAGAGUCUCUUCCCAGGCCGCUGGGUUCUCCCCCUGAGAUGAGCGACAUGGAGCGGAUCAAGGACGAAGAAGUUGAGAUGAGCUUCUCUAAGACAAAGAGUUUGGAUGGCAGUGUCACUGCCCCGAGAGUGCAUCCAGGAUCCCCUGGCAUCCACGCCCCCAUCCCAACGAAGGCAGCACGAGGCCACCCAGCAUCACAGAGCCUCUGGAUGCCAGCUGAGAGUGUGGCUGGGACUGACAGGUGAGUGCCACGGGAACAGCGAUGGCUUUGGGUACAGCACUGGUCCUGUUUCCUCCACAGGGCCCAUGUGGGGCCCUGGCAUCAGACCCAUUUAUCUGCUGAUCGAACCGUGGGGAUGCUGGUGAUGGAGCUGUGCUGUCUCCUCCCAGUGGUAGCAGGUCCCAGACAGCAAAGGAGGCACAAGGAAGGGGCAGCUUCAGGAUGGAGCCCUCUGGGAUGUGAGUACAAACUUUCCUGAUGAGUGUAGGGGACAGGGGAUGGCAGGUCAUCCCCCCAGGCAGGGCUGUGACAGUGCCAGAGCCGGGC